rnacentral:rRNA from 1 species
AUGCCCCGUGAGCCAUUAGUACAGGUAGGCUACAUUAUCGAUCUGGCACAUUUCUUCAUGGAUAAUGGAGGGCAAUUCCCACAACCGAUUCUCACGAAAAGAACAAAAGCAACACAUGAUAAAAGAAAAACUCUGUGCAGUUGCGAGGCUGCAGUUCAUCCAUCCAUUCAUAUGCCGCUCACGCAUGCACGUGACUCAGGGUGGCACCCACCAGAACCCAUUCCAUUAUCUCCAUUCUCUCUGCUCCGGCCUCCAAGAAGCAUCCAUGGCGCUGGCUAUUUAAACCCCUCCACUUUCCCUCCUCAGACUGCAAGCCACAUACACAGUCUGGACACUGCCAUCAUCUAA